rnacentral:rRNA from 1 species
GACGAACGCUGGCGGCGUGCUUAACACAUGCAAGUCGAACGAAGAGCGAUGGAAGCUUGCUUCUAUCAAUCUUAGUGGCGAACGGGUGAGUAACGCGUAAUCAACCUGCCCUUCAGAGGGGGACAACAGUUGGAAACGACCGCUAAUACCGCAUAACAUUGCCGAACGGCAUCGUUUGGCAAUCAAAGGAGCAAUCCGCUGAAAGAUGGGCUCGCGUCUGAUUAGAUAGUUGGUGAGGUAACGGCUCACCAAGUCGACGAUCAGUAGCCGGACUGAGAGGUUGAUCGGCCACAUUGGGACUGAGACACGGCCCAGACUCCUACGGGAGGCAGCAGUGGGGGAUAUUGGACAAUGGGGGAAACCCUGAUCCAGCGAUGCCGCGUGAGGAGAAGGUUUCGGAUUGUAAACCUCUGUGGACAGGGACGAUAAUGACGGUACCUGUUUAGAAGCCACGGCUAAC